GACGAACGCUGGCGGCGUGCCUAAUACAUGCAAGUUGAGCGAUGAAGCUUGGUGCUUGCACCAAUUUGAAGAGCAGCGAACGGGUGAGUAACGCGUGGGGAAUCUGCCUUUGAGCGGGGGACAACAUUUGGAAACGAAUGCUAAUACCGCAUAACAACUUUAAACAUAAGUUUUAAGUUUGAAAGAUGCAAUUGCAUCACUCAAAGAUGAUCCCGCGUUGUAUUAGCUAGUUGGUGAGGUAAAGGCUCACCAAGGCGAUGAUACAUAGCCGACCUGAGAGGGUGAUCGGCCAAAUUGGGACUGAGACACGGCCCAAACUCCUACGGGAGGCAGCAGUAGGGAAACAUCGGCAAUGGACGAAAGUCUGACCGAGCAACGCCGCGUGAGUGAAGAAGGUCUUCGGAUCGUAAAACUCUGUUGGUAGAGAAGAACGUUGGUGAGAUUGGAAAGCUCAUCAAGUGACGGUAACUACCCAAAAAGGGACGGCUAACUACGUG
rnacentral:rRNA from 1 species